UUCUUGAGAACCGGUGCUUGCAACACAAGCCAACCAGACCACGACAAGCAGUGUCCAAUGAGGUAUAAGCACCCUAGGGUCCAGUUCUUCCCCUUUGCAUCUCCCAGUGACACUGACCCCAAUUCAAACACUUGUGUCACUCUUGUGUUGUUUAUGUUCACACCAGUUGUUGGGCUAUAUAUUGUUGGACCUUUGUAUAGUGUGAUCACGGUGGCUCCAACCACACAUAGCACUGUUCCCGCCACCUUACCCAACCCAUCUUUUCGGUUCAAUCUCACUUGCUCUAUUCUGGUGAGUUUCCAUAUAUAAGCAUUAAUAUUAUAUCAUUUGUAGUAAUAAUAAUAAUAAUUUGUUAAUUAAGGGCUUGCCUUAAUAUGGCUGCCAUGAGAAAUGUAAUGGCUGGGACUGAGUUCUGUAUUGCUGAUGCGAAGGUAGGGGAUGUGUUCUCCAACCCUAGCAAGUAGAAACCUUGGUUUGCUGUAAUCCUGUUAAUUUAGUGCAAUAUUGUAUAUAUUAUUAGCAAAGGAUGUAUUACAAUUUAUGUAGCAUUUUGAAAAUGACAGACAAGAAAGACCAUACUUUAAUUUAAUUUUUGUAUGUACACAAAAGGAUGGAAGUGUUUUCAUUUUUAAUUUUUUUUUUCUUUAGAACCGUUUGUAAUUAGUCUUGCAUGGUUUGAUAAUUAGACAUACCCGACAAGUGCCAGAAGAAAGAACUGGCAGACGAAGUUUAAAGUCAUGGCUGGCCUAUCCUUCCUGGACAAAAGGAAAACAAGUUGCACGUGAGAUUGAUAAAUAGACAUAUUAGAUAACUAAUUUAGAACUAUAAAUGCAUAUAAAUAUCAAUUACAUGUGAAAAGUUUAUAAACAAAAUAAACAAUUAUUUUAGUUAAAAUAGACUGAUGCAAACAAAUGGAAAAGGGUUAUAAGAUAAUUAUAUGUACAAUACAUAUAUAGACAAACAAUUUAAAUUUGUCGGAAGAUUAAUUAGUUAAAAGAGCACUAACUUUUCCAAGAAGUAGGCAAAGGGAAGGAGCAGAAGCAAGGCAAUGAUGUUCCGAUAGACUGGGAAAACAAGCUUGCUAACGCCCAUGUUAAGUGCAGCUCUUGAGACAACAUGGAAUCCAGCAUAGCCAAACUGCAAGGCCAACAUGGCCAAGUGAAGCUGCAUU
rnacentral:lncRNA from 1 species